CAGUCGCCACGGGAAUACGUAGGUGGCAAGCGUUGUCCGGAUUUAUUGGGCGUAAAGGGAGCGCAGGCGGUUUAGUAAGUCUGAAGUUAAAGGCAUUGGCUCAACCAAUGUAUGCUUUGGAAGCUGUUAGACUUGAGUGCAGAAGGGGAGAGUGGAAUUCCAUGUGUAGCGGUGAAAUGCGUAGAUAUAUGGAGGAACACCGGUGGCGAAAGCGGCUCUCUGGUCUGUCACUGACGCUGAGGCUCGAAAGCGUGGGUAGCGAACAGGAUUAGAUACCCCGGUAGUCCCUGUCUCUUAUACC
rnacentral:rRNA from 1 species